AUUGAACGCUGGCGGCAGGCCUAACACAUGCAAGUCGAACGAGUGGCGGACGGGUGAGCAGUGUCUGGGAAACUGCCUGAUGUAGGGGGCUAACUACUGGAAACCUUUGCUACUACCGCAUAACAUCAUAUGUGCUCAGAUGGGAUUAGCUAGUGGGUGGGGUAACGGCUCACCAAGGCGACGAUCCCUAGCUGGUCUGAGAGGAUGACCGGCCACACUGGAACUGAGACACGGUCCAGACUCCUACGGGAGGCAGCAGUGGGGAAUAUUGCACAAUGGGCGCAAGCCUGAUGCAGCCAUGCCGCGUGUAUGAAGAAGGCCUUCGGGUUGUAAAGUACUUUCAGCGGGGAGGCGUUACCCGAAGAAGAAGCCCCGGCUAACUCCGUGCCAGCAGCCGCGGUAAUUC
rnacentral:rRNA from 1 species